CCCCCCCCCCCCCCGCAUGACAUCUUGACCAUUUCUAUUCCAAUGUAUCUCAGAGAACUAAUAGGAUGUCCAGCUUGUACAAAAUGAGCAGCAACCGGAUGUUUUUGUCUCUCCUGUCCGUAUAUUGCUGCGGUGCUCACUGAUCCGUGUCUUAAGGCUUCUACAGGGUUUUCCCUAUGUAAGAUUUCAUUUAUGCAGAAGUCCAGGUAAUUCCAAAGGGUUCACAUACGUUUUCUUGCCACUUUAGCUAGCCAGCGUAAUGACUUAGCCAUCAUCUAACACAAUGUACACUUAAUGUCUUCAAAUAGAAAAGGUUAAAGACACGCCCUGAAAGGCAGAGUGAUGUAUGACGUGGAUGUACAGAACGCCAUCCCGGUUAAAACUAGACUUUUCCGUACGACUACUGUAAAGCAUGGGAGGAGACUGUUAUACCCAUCUCUGUGGGAGUUGACUUGCCACUGGAAGUUUGCGAAAAGUGUUGAACUGUUCUUCAAACUCUUCUUAGCGGUUAAGAGCGUUGGGCCAGUAACCGAAAGGUAGCUGGUUUGAAUCCUCGAGCCGACUAAGUGAAAAAUCUGCAGAUGUGCCCUUGAGCAAGGCACUUAAGACUCAUUGUUUCUGUAAGUCGCUCUGGAUAAGAGUGUCGGCUAAAUGAGACCAUCUGCUAAUUCCAUUGAAGAUGUAUAGAGAUCGUAACGUUAUAUCUGUGCCAUUAUGGCACCUUCUGAAAGCACGGGCAGCUUUCACAGCUUUCUAAUAUAUACAUUUAAACAUUAUUUUAAAACGAUUUAAAUAUAAUACGUAGAAAUGUUGUGGGACUAUAGUAGAGGAAGAAUCCAUAUUUUUUUUUUAGAUUUGAGUAUUUAUUUGGUCAUUAUGUUAGUAUAUUGUGUAUGUUUGUAAUAGUGUGUUAUAUGUGGAAAUGUGUUCGUAUUAUAAAUUGUAUUUUAAUGUUUUAAGGACUCUUGGAAGAUUAGUCCAAAUGGGGACUAAUCCAAAUAAAAUCUCCAUUUUAAAGUAGUUGUUAAUAUUGAUGGCUGCGAUGGAGUCUUAAACCACAUUGUUUCUUUCUAUGGCUGUCAUAUAGCUUAAAUUCAUUUACAACUUGACAAAUCAGUUUGAAGCACAAGACAAUGCUCCGCUCAUUGACUGAUCGAUCCCAACCCAUAGGAAUCCCCCACCCCAGUGGACUACUUUAAAAUGGUCGAAGCCCUGAAUGGCAAUGGACGGGCAAAAGCUGGUUAUUUCCAUGUAAUGAUCUUCAUGGAACAGGGAAGCACGUCACUCCCUUUUCCGGUUGUUGCCCUGGCGCCAUCAUCCCCACCGGACACAAAACAGUAGCAAUCUAGCGAGAGGUUGUUUUUAAUGAGUGCAAUUUUCAAGUGGUUUGUUUGCAUUAUCUGCCUUCACUAAAGUAGAGCAGUACUAGGAGAACCCUAGAGAGUAAACAGGAGAGUAGAGAGGUACUAGGAAAACCCUAGAGAGUAAACAGGAGAGUAGAGAGGUACUAGGAGAACCCUAGAGAGUAAACAGGAGAGUAGAGAGGUACUAGGAGAACCCUAGAGAGUAAACAGGAGAGCAGAGAGGUACUAGGAGAACCCUAGAGAGUAAACAGGAGAGUAGAGAGGUACUAGGAGAACCCUAGAGAGUAAACAGGAGAGUAGAGAGGUACUAGGAGAACCCUAGAGAGUAAACAGGAGAGCAGAGAGGUACUAGGAGAACCCUAGAGAGUAAACAGGAGAGCAGAGAGGUACUAGGAGAACCCUAGAGAGUAAACAGGAGAGUAGAGAGGUACUAGGAGAACCCUAGAGAGUAAACAAGAGAGUAGAGAGGUACUAGGAGAACCCUAGAGAGUAAACAGGAGAGUAGAGAGGUACUAGGAUAACCCUAGAGAGUAAACAGGAGAGCAGAGAGGUACUAGGAGAACCCUAGAGAGUAAACAGGAGAGUAGAGAGGUACUAGGAGAACCCUAGAGAGUAAACAGGAGAGUAGAGAGGUACUAGGAGAACCCUAGAGAGUAAACAGGAGAGCAGAGAGGUACUAGGAGAACCCUAGAGAGUAAACAGGAGAGUAGAGAGGUACUAGGAGAACCCUAGAGAGUAAACAGGAGAGCAGAGAGGUACUAGGAGAACCCUAGAGAGUAAACAGGAGAGCAGAGAGGUACUAGGAGAACCCUAGAGAGUAAACAGGAGAGCAGAGAGGUACUAGGAGAACCCUAGAGAGUAAACAGGAGAGUAGAGAGGUACUAGGAGAACCCUAGAGAGUAAACAAGAGAGUAGAGAGGUACUAGGAGAACCCUAGAGAGUAAACAGGAGAGUAGAGAGGUACUAGGAGAACCCUAGAGAGUAAACAGGAGAGUAGAGAGGUACUAGGAGAACCCUAGAGAGUAAACAGGAGAGUAGAGGUACUAGGAGAACCCUAGAGAGUAAACAGGAGAGUAGAGGUACUAGGAGAACCCUAGAGAGUAAACAGGAGAGUAGAGAGGUACUAGGAGAACCCUAGAGAGUAAACAGGAGAGUAGAGAGGUACUAGGAGAACCCUAGAGAGUAAACAGGAGAGUAGAGAGGUACUAGGAGAACCCUAGAGAGUAAACAGGAGAGUAGAGGUACUAGGAGAACCCUAGAGAGUAAACAGGAGAGUAGAGAGGGACUAGGAGAACCCUAGAGAGUAAACAGGAGUGUAGAGAGGUCCUAGGAGAACCCUAGAGAGUAAACAGGAGAGUAGAGGUACUAGGAGAACCCUAGAGAGUAAACAGGAGAGUAGAGGUACUAGGAGAACCCUAGAGAGUAAACAGGAGAGUAGAGAGGUACUAGGAGAACCCUAGAGAGUAAACAGGAGAGUAGAGGUACUAGGAGAACCCUAGAGAGUAAACAGGAGAGUAGAGGUACUAGGAGAACCCUAGAGAGUAAACAGGAGAGUAGAGAGGUACUAGGAGAACCCUAGAGAGUAAACAGGAGAGUAGAGAGGUACUAGGAGAACCCUAGAGAGUAAACAGGAGAGUAGAGAGGUACUAGGAGAACCCUAGAGAGUAAACAGGAGAGUAGAGGUACUAGGAGAACCCUAGAGAGUAAACAGGAGAGUAGAGAGGGACUAGGAGAACCCUAGAGAGUAAACAGGAGUGUAGAGAGGUCCUAGGAGAACCCUAGAGAGUAAACAGGAGAGUAGAGGUACUAGGAGAACCCUAGAGAGUAAACAGGAGAGUAGAGAGGUACUAGGAGAACCCUAGAGAGUAAACAGGAGAGUAGAGAGGUACUAGGAGAACCCUAGAGAGUAAACAGGAGAGUAGAGGUAUUAGGAGAACCCUAGAGAGUAAACAGGAGAGUAGAGAGGUACUAGGAGAACCCUAGAGAGUAAACAGGAGAGUAGAGAGGUACUAGGAGAACCCUAGAGAGUAAACAGGAGAUUAGAGAGGUACUAGGAGAACCCUAGAGAGUAAACAGGAGAGUAGAGAGGUACUAUGAGAACCCUAGAGAAUAAACAGGAGAGUAGAGGUAUUAGGAGAACCCUAGAGAGUAAACAGGAGAGUAGAGAGGUACUAGGAGAACCCUAGAGAGUAAACAGGAGAGUAGAGGUACUAGGAGAACCCUAGAGAGUAAACAGGAGAGUAGAGGUACUAGGAGAACCCUAGAGAGUAAACAGGAGAGUAGAGGGGUACUAGGAGAACCCUAGAGAGUAAACAGGAGAGUAGAGGUACUAGGAGAACCCUAGAGAGUAAACAGGAGAGUAGAGGUACUAGGAGAACCCUAGAGAGUAAACAGGAGAGUUGAGCGGUACUACGAGAACCAUAGAGAGUAAACAGGAGUAGAGGUACUAGGAGAACCCUAGAGAGUAAACAGGAGAGUAGAGAUGUACUAGGAGAAGCCUAGAGAGUAAACAGGAGAGUAGAGAGGUACUAGCAGAACCCUAGAGAGUAAACAGCAGAGUAGAGCGGUACUAGGAGAACCCUAGAGAGUAAACAGGAGAGUAGAGGUACUAGGAUAACCCUGGAGAGUAAGCAGGAUAGUAGAGAGGUACUAGGAGAACCCUAGAGAGUAAACAGGAGAGUAGAGAGGUACUAGGAGAACCCUAGAGAGUAAACAGGAGAGUAGAGGUACUAGGAGAACCCUAGAGAGUAAACAGGAGAGUAGAGCGGUACUAGGAGAACCCUAGAGAGUAAACAGGAGAGUGGAGAGGUACUAGGAGAACCCUAGAGAGUAAACAGGAGAGUAGAGAGGCACUAGGAUAACCCUAGAGAGUAAACAGGAGAGUAGAGAGGUAUUAGGAUAACCCUAGAGAGUAAACAGGAGAGUAGAGAGGUAUUAGGAGAACCCUAGAGAGUAAACAAGAGAGUAGAGGUACUAGGAGAACCCUAGAGAGAAGAGGCAGAAUGGCACCCUAUUCCUAUUAAAUUGCAAUAUUUUUUACCAGUGUUUUUUGUUAAAAGUAGGGCACUGUAAAGGGAUUAGGGUGUCUUUUAGCAAGCAGAUUCAGUGUAAGCAAGCGGAGCCAGGAGUGAUUGAGUCUACUGCCACCAUCUCACCCUGAUGCACCUCCCACCCUACCCAUGCUGCCUCCCCAACCUGCUUCCCUCUCAUCCUCCCUCCUUCAGCAUCCUCCCAGCCUACCUUCCACUUUCCUUCCUCCCUACCUCUCCAGCUUACCCCUCUCCUCUCUCUAUGUCUCUCUCUCCCUCUAUGUCUCUCUCUAUGUCUCUCUCUCUCCACCCUGCCUCUGUGUUCUGACUGGCCACUUAAUCAAUGGUAAUGAGCGGCUCACACAUCUUCCUCUACAGGCCCUGUGUCAGGAGACAACCAGGACAUGUCCCUCUUUAAUUAGGCAGAACCAACAUAAUAGUACUGUUUGGGAGGAGGGGCAGAACCAACAUAAUGGUACUGUUCAGGAGGAGAGGUCACAGGGCUAUAGGAGGAGGAGGAGAGGUCACAGGGCUAUAGGAGGAGGAGGAGAGGUCACAGAGCUAUAGGAGAAGGAGAGGUCAC